ACACAUGCAAGUCGAACGAGAAUGUACUGACAGAUCCUUAGGGUGAAGAUAGUACAGGACAGUGGCGGAUGGGUGAGUAACGCGUAAGAAACCUGCCUUUCACACCGGGAUAGCAGCUGGAAACGGCUAUUAAUACCGGAUGACACUUUUUCCCCGCAUGAGGAAGAGGUUAAAGAAUUUCGGUGAAAGAUGGUCUUGCGUCUGAUUAGCUAGUUGGUGGGGUAACGGCCUACCAAGGCGACGAUCAGUAGCCGGCCUGAGAGGGUGUACGGCCACAUUGGGACUGAGACACGGCCCAAACUCCUACGGGAGGCAGCAGUGGGGAAUUUUGCACAAUGGAGGAAACUCUGAUGCAGCGACGCCGCGUGAACGAAGAAGGUCUUCGGAUUGUAAAGUUCUGUCCUGGGUGAAGAUAAUGACGGUAACUCAGGAGGAAGCCCCGGCUAACUACGUGCCAGCAGCCGCGGUAAUACGUAGGGGGCGAGCGUUGUUCGGAAUUAUUGGGCGUAAAGGGUACGUAGGCGGUUUGUUAAGUUUGGCGUUAAAUCACGGGGCUCAACCCCGUUCAGCGUUGAAAACUGGCAAACUUGAGUAGUAGAGGGGACAGUGGAAUUCCUAGUGUAGCGGUGAAAUGCGUAGAGAUUAGGAAGAAUACCGGUGGCGAAGGCGACUGUCUGGAUACAUACUGACGCUCAGGUACGAAAGCGUGGGGAGCAAACAGGAUUAGAUACCCUGGUA
rnacentral:rRNA from 1 species